rnacentral:rRNA from 1 species
UACGAAGGGGGCUAGCGUUGCUCGGAAUCACUGGGCGUAAAGCGCACGUAGGCGGAUUGCUAAGUCAGGGGUGAAAUCCUGGAGCUCAACUCCAGAACUGCCUUUGAUACUGGCGAUCUCGAGUUCGGGAGAGGUGAGUGGAACUGCGAGUGUAGAGGUGAAAUUCGUAGAUAUUCGCAAGAACACCAGUGGCGAAGGCGGCUCACUGGCCCGAUACUGACGCUGACGGUGCGAAAGCGUGGGGAGCAAAGCAGGGAUUAAGAA